UACAUAGGGGGCAAGCGUUAUCCGGAUUUAUUGGGCGUAAAGAGUGCGUAGGCGGUUCGUGAGGUCAGUCGUAAAAGAUCAGGGCUUAACCCUGUAGGGCGAUUGAAACCGGCGGACUUGAAUAUGGUAGAGGCUAGUGGAAUUCCAUGUGUAGCGGUGGAAUGCGUAGAUAUAUGGAGGAACACCAAUGGCGAAGGCAGCUAGCUGGGCCAGAAUUGACGCUGAGGCACGAAAGCGUGGGGAGCAAACAGGAUUAGAUACCCUGGUAGUCCACGCCGUAAACGAUGAGAACUAAGUGUUGGCGCAAGUCAGUGCUGAAGUUAACGCAUUAAGUUCUCCGCCUGGGUAGUACGGUCGCAAGACUGAA
rnacentral:rRNA from 1 species